UGGCCACGUCGAUGGAUGCGGCGGUCAGGGACCCGACCGACGCUGAGGGAGCAAGGGAAUUGCAGAGAUCGGGGUACGAUGCUUUUUUGCAUUCGGAGGUGGCGUCGAAGAGGGAGCGGUCAUUGACGCGGCGGAGGACGCGAGCUUCUGUUAUGGUGGCCCCGAGAAGGAGGAGCAGAGCGGCAGGCAGGAUGAGUGGGAGAGAGGCGGUUUGGUGCUGUCGCCCCAUGGUGGCUCUCUUGGAGGGUUUGGAAACUGAGGAGAGCCAAAGAGCAGUGGAAGAGAAGAGGGAGGCGGAGGUUGGACAUAGAUUUGCAAGUGUUUAUAUAGGUGUGCGGAGAUGGAUGUGGCCAAAUGUACGUGAAGGAGAGAGGAGGAGGAGGGAAGAAGGAUCCGUUCUCCUGGUUUAUCUCCCAAACAUACGUGGGUGUAGGGCUGACCAUAAAUGUCGCUGUGGGUCCGACUUGGUCAGAGCUAAAAAAAAAAAUCAUAAGUAUUUUGUUUAUCCUCCCUAACGACUCACUCGUUGCUAUUUAAAUACCAGGAAGGAGGACUCCUGUCAUAAUAAAAUAGUUUUUUUUAUUUUUUUUAAUACUAUUUUUCUUUUUUCUCAUCUUAAUCUUCGACUCGUAUACAUUCUAACUCUUACGAACAGAGGAGGAUACAUUCAUAGUAUUAUAUCCCAUCUACUUUGUAGGUUUUUGAAUUUAGAGCACUUGGCUCAUAGCAUACCUCCACAUCAUCUACCUCAACUAUUCCAAGAGCGUACGUACAAGAAAGGGUCCAUAUUGGCUCCAAGAAGUCAAUCGGUUAUCAUAUGAGAUCCUAAACUUGCGAUAAUAAAAUGAUAAAUUAAUCAUGCUCUAAUCUCUUACGAGGUGGAUAUCCGAUAUCACAUGAAAGAAAAUUCAGAUUAAGCAUGCGCAUAUUUAGCUCGACAUCCUUAUAAGAAGAUGGUGUAUGAUGCAAAUACUAAUAAAUCUUUAGAGAUGAAUAAAAAAAAAAAUCCCAUCCGUAUAUACCCAAAAGAAAAACGCUAAGUUGCACAACAAUAAUGACUAUAAAAAUAAAUAAAUCUGCACAGGCGAAUUAUUUCAAUGAAUCACAAACAAACAAAGGCCUAAUGUGCAGGUAAUUAAUUCUAGACCACUAGAAUCUCAACCAUGUAUUCACAAACCCGAACACCAAGAGUCCGACAAUACAAAAAAUUCCCAAGAAUGUUUGCAUCGAAAAAAAUCAACACGGGAAAAGCCUGAAUAGUUCGGGAAACUCACUUAUUAGCCAACAUAGAACAAAAAAGGCAUGACCUAAGAACGCAAGCUUAAUGAGCAGCACAUAGUCAGAUCAAACCAAACUUUAGGUGUUUUUGCCAUCUUCAUCUAGUGGUAUUUGACUCUUCUAGAACUACUUUUCUAGUGACCCCCUUGUAUAUAUACGUACAUGCAUUAAGACGAUCCAGCUCCUCCCGAUGCUCAUUCAGCACUGCUCGAACGACAUCACCAAUGGAGACCAUGCCAAUCAUACCUUUGUCAUCAACCACAGGGAUAUGCCUAAUGCGGUCGUCUACAGAUAAAAAAAGUCAUAACAACAGUGUUAUCAGUCAAUCUAUCUACGCGAGCAACUAAUUGUACUUACAGAACAAACCUGUCAUAAGCUGCAUGGCCCGCAGAACCUUGGUAUCUGGUGUCACAGUGAUCAAUUUAUUCUGGUCAUAAGAAACCAACGAUACUUUGUCAUAAGGCAGAAUGCAAAUGAAGGAUAAAAUCUUAGUCCAUGUCACCAUUGAACGACAGGUUUGGUACUGUACUGGUAUCAUAUGAUGAAGCAAGUAUCGAUAUGGUACAGUAAAAUCGAUACAGACCAUUAUUAGAACGGAGGGAGAGAGAGAGAGACUAGCUGGAGAUAGUGAGUACAAAAUAACGCAGGAAUGUAUCGGAGGAAAGGCAGCGGUAGGCCGUGACGUGAUAAAGAGAAUGGGUUAGAUUACACGAUUUAUCUAAUUAGAUAAAAUAUAUUAUAAAUAUGAUUUAUUUUGAUCAUGAUUAUUAAUUAAUAAAAAAAAUUAAUUAUAGUAUAAUUCUUUAUAAUAUAUUUUGAUAUGAAACUUCCUUAAUUAUUUAUAUUAGACUAUUUUCUCUCGUCUAUAAAAUGACAUGAUCUUUUAAAGACUCGACGUGAAUUCACAGAUAAUUAAAUACAUGAUAUGUAAAUAAAUAAAUAAAGAUGGAGAUAUAUGAUAUUAUUGGGAGAUUACAUACAUUUUCUCAUAUCACAUUAAUCACGUGAACUAGUUAAUGAGAUAUUACAUAUCUUUUCUCAUCUUCCUUUUAUUCUUAAUCAAUCGCUUAUAACAGUCAUGUGAAGGAUAAGAAAAGAUGAAAAUAUGAGUUUAGUUCUCCUUGCAUACUGGCAUCGUUGUAACUUUUGAAUUCGACAAUGGUGCACCUGCAUAUCACAUAAAAUUUUUUUGAAUGAUAUCUAAAGGUACGCUUCAUAAAUUUGAUCUAUUAUUAUUUGAUUUUAUUUUUUUAUAUUAUAGUUUUUUGCAUAACAAUAACAUAAAAUUAGUUUUUUAUGUUUAUAAUUGGUAUCAAAACCAAAUUUAUGAAAUCAAAUACUUUAGAUAUAUUUGUUAGCACAUUUCACUAUGUUGUUCGAUUUUGAUUUGCAAUGCUUAAACGAUUCAUGUGUAUUACUAAUCUACUUUUAUAUUUAGUUUAACAUAUCGUCUGUGGGUGAUAUAAGAUUCUUUGUGUUUGAUCGAUGGACUAUUGUCGAUAAUUUACUAUUAGCAAUAGUAUUAUUAAGGGUGAUGGUCUUCGAUGGUCGCCAGCCCAAUCAUGGGCAACAAUUGCAUAUGCAGCGAAAGCUUUGUAGAUUACGACAACCUUAUGGCAGAUGCAAUUUGUCUUAUGGCUACGGUGGCUAUGCAACACUACUGCUUGCGAUGGCUUUGGCUAUUGUCACUACAUACGGUGGCUAUAGUAACGUCGCUGCGUGUAAUAACUACAGUAAUGCCAUUGCCUAUGUGGCUACAACGAUUGUUGUUGCUUGAGGCAACUGUAGCAGCAUCGUCACUACUUGUAGUAGUUGUAGCAAUGUUGAUGUGACAACAUAUGUUGCCACACUCGGUGUCACUAAAAGCCAAAGACCAAUGACGUCAUCGGGCAAUGUGUGUGUACACAAUCACGUUGCGACGACUAUGGGGGUCACCUUGAGUCGCACAUGCGUGGUAACAAUUGUUUGAGGCGGGGUGACGACCCACAAGCGAUGAUCACUCAUGACAGUGAUUGUGCGAAGGGAGUAGAAUUAGGGGUGUUUUUUUAAUAAAAGAAUAUUUUUACCCUACAUAAUUAGAAAAAAAAUUAGCUUGUGUCCUUUUGACAAUUUUGAUCUUCACAAAUUAGAUAUAUUUUUACAUAUCAUAACAAAAUUAUAUUUUUACCCUUGAAAAAUUAAAAUUUUCUAACUUGUCUUCAAUGAUAAAAUUGAUUAAUUUGAUUUAUUUUAAUCAAAUAUUUUGAUCGGACUUUAUCAUUAUUGUAUUUUGACUACUUGACUAUAUUUAGGUUUGAUCAAUUAAGUUUUGAUCGAUUUCCACAAAAAGUCAAAAUUUGAUUUUAAUCAACAUUAAUCUUAAUGAGCCUAACUGGGUAAAUGUUCAACUCAAAUCUAUGAGCCUAAUUUGGGUAACUUAAUUUUGGGUCUAGUCAAUUAAAUAUGGUUGAUUAAUAUAAGAGUUCGAUACGAAAUUUUAAAAUAUAGAUAAAUCAUGAUUUUCUUUGAUAGUUUUCUUAUAUGACAUCGAUAAAAUUUUAUAUGUGAUAAAUAAAAAAAUAAUUAUUAUUCUUGAAUAUUUGUUUGAUUAUUCACAUGCAUAUGUUUAAAAUUAUAAAAUGAUAUUUAUUUUUCACAUAAAAACAUAAUUUUUGUUUUUUUUCAUUAUUAUAGUUUUCAUGUGUUUUUCUGAUUAAUAUUUAAUUAUUAUUAUUAUUUAAAUAUUUUAAUAUAAGUUAAAUAAGAAAUUAGGUGAAUAUUCUUUGUAACUCAUAUUUCUAAAUUUUAUCUGAUUGGUAACUAAAGAUAUAUUUAUAAGGUAUGAAUUAUAAUAAAAUAUUAUAAUUUAUAUAAAAUAUAAUAUUUUAAAUUAUAUUAGAUAUUGUUGUAUGGGUCGGUGGCCUAGGGUUAGGUCUUAUAGAUAGGCGACUGAGUCUCUCGAACUCGUAGGCGACGCCGAGGAUGGGUACGAUGGAUUUGACGGAGGAGGGGACGAGCUCGCAGUCGGGCGGGGCAGGCGCAUCCUCCUCCUGCUGCACGUCCAGCAUCGUCGGCAUCCGCGUCAUCUUCCUAGAGGGUGCUUUCCGGAGCUUCAGCCCACCGGCGCCCUCCCCUCCUCCGUGGUUGCUGCCGCUCGCCAUCAAGCCCUGCCUCCCUUCUUUUCCUUCCUCGCUUCUCUUCUUCUCGUCCCAAGCAAAUCUUUAAGGGUUUUUUUUGUGGCAGAAUAGUGUCUUUAGCUUUUCCUUUCUGCGCUCCACCAGCUGUACUGUUCUUUUCCGGGUUUCGAUUUGGCGAUGGGGGGAUCGAAGGAAGGAAUGUGGUACAGGAAAGGAAGAGACGGAGAGAAAAAUAAAAACGAAGGUGGAUGCGAUUGUGAGCGGGAGUCAGGCAAGGACGUAAUUAAUUGGCCAAGCGGACUGGGUUUCGUGUUUCGGACGGCAAGGAUCGAGUCGAUGCUCCGCUUGCCGCCCAGGGCUACCGUAGGAUAUUCGAAAAAGCCAAAACUUAUAGUCAUUUCGUGGAAGACAUGCAUGCAGUGCAUGCGAACGUGGAGUAGCAGUAAGCAAACCAAAUGAAUAAAAAGACGAGGAGAAGGUGGUCUAUAACCGAGACAUGAAUCUUAAACCUCACAGCUUCACAGAUCAUUUUAAAUCAUUUAAUCCAAAUAAAAACAUCCUCCACCUUCACUUCUAUGGUCAAUAUAUUAUCUCGCCAGUUGCUCUUUACGUGGAUGUCUCUCCUCAGUUCUUCAAAGUAGAAGCCAGGUCCAGGCUAUUGCUAACCAGUUUCGAAAGGUGGUCGUUGAUAUCGGCAACAGGUGACACCAAACCCGGCCAAUCCUGGAACGCAUCAGCGCAGUUGGCCUUGAGGCUCAUCGCGGCGGAGAGGUUCACCAUGAGGUCAGUGUGCGCUGCAUCCUUGAGGUUCUUGGCUGACAACUGGAGACUGUCAGCUACGGAGCUGAAGGCAUCACGGCAAACACACAGGGUGGACUUCAUCAGCUUCUCGGUGCCAGGGGCUUUCAUAAGCUUGGCGGAAAUGGCUGCUGCCUCCUUGGCUUUGGACGUGGCCACGUCGAUGGAUGCGGCGGUCAGGGACCCGACCGACGCUGAGGGAGCAAGGGAAUUGCAGAGAUCGGGGUACGAUGCUUUUUUGCAUUCGGAGGUGGCGUCGAAGAGGGAGCGGUCAUUGACGCGGCGGAGGACGCGAGCUUCUGUUAUGGUGGCCCCGAGGAGGAGGAGCAGGGCGGCAGGCAGGAUGAGUGAGAGAGAGGCGGUUUGGUGCUGUCGACCCAUGGUGGCUCUCUUGGAGGGUUUGGAAACUGAGGAGAGCCAAAGAGCAGUGGCAGAGAAGAGGGAGGCGGAGGUUGGAGAUAGAUUUGCAAGUGUUUAUAUAGGAGGAGCUUGGAUAGGUGUGCGGAGAUGGAUGUGGCCAAAUGUACGUGCAGGAGAGAGGAGGAGGAGGGAAGAAGGAUCCGUUCUCCUGGUUUAUCUCCGAACCAUACGUCGAUGUAUGGCUGACCAUAGAUGUCACUGUGGGUGCGACUUGGUCAGAACUAAAAAAAAACCUAACGAUUCACUCGUUGCUCUUUAAAUACUAGGAAAGAGGACUCCUGGCAUAAUAAAAUAGUUUUUUCUUUUUUCUCGCCUUAAUAUUCAACUCCAACACAAUCUAACUCUUACGAUCGGCGGAGGAUACAUUCUUAGAGACCGUGUUGGCUCGUAGGUUUGUGAAUUUAGAGUGCUUGGCUCGUAGCUUACCUCCACAUCAUUUACCUCAAGUAUUCCAAGAGCGUGCUUACAAAAAAGGGACCGUGUUGGCUCUAUUAUCCUAUAUUUAUAUGAACGAACUGAAUCCGACAGCUUCGCAUCGGUCUUAGGAGGGCUUUCCAAAGCGUCCAACCAGGCCUCACAACCUACUCCAGAAGAAACUACAAUCACCAUCUGAUAUAUUCCCAACGACGAGCAGUGCCAUCCUUCGACGGGCCCAACAUGACCUGCCUUUGAAUUCCACUGAGACUAACUUGCGUUGUAAGCUCUCAUUUCCAUCAUAAUCCAAACAAUUUAAUCUUACGGCUUUGAAAAUAUUGUUAAACAGACAUCAUCAAUACAAAAAGAAGUCAAUCGGUUAUCAUCUGAGAUUCUAAACAUGCCAUAAUAAAAUGCCCGAUUAAUCAUACUCUAAUCUCUUACGAGGUGGAUCUCUGAUGUCACAUGGAAGACAGUUCGGAUUAAGCAUGCACACAUUUGGCUUGACAUCCUUAUAAGAAGAAGGUGUAUGAUGCAGAUACUAAUAAAUCUUUGGAGAUGAAUAAAAAAAAUCCCAUCAGUAUAUACCCAAAAGAAAAACGCUGAGUUGCACAACAAUAAUGACUAAUAAAUAAAUCUGCACAGGCGAAUUAUUACAAUGAAUCACAAAUAAACAAAGACCUAAAAUGCAGGUUAUUUUAAACCAUUAGAAUCUCGACCAGAUAUUCACAAACUCGAACACCUAGAUUCGACAAUACAAAACAUUCCCAAGAAUAUUUACAUUGAAAACAUUACUUUUUGUUGGUAAUCAACACUGGAAAAGCCUGAAUAGUUCACGAUAAUUAACCACACAAAGAGCCACAACCAGCCACAAUAAUAACUCUGAUGAACACAAAAAAAAGUCUGAUGAGCUUGCAUAAACCCACUGAUUAGCCAACAUAGAACAAGAAAAGCAUGACAUAAGCAUGCAAGUUUGAUGAGUAGCACAUGGUCAGAUCAAAGCAAACUUUCGGUUUUUUGCCAUCUUUAUCUAGCAUUAUUAGACUCUGCUAGAACUACUUUUCCAGUGACCCCCUUGUAUACAUACAUGCAUUAAGGCAGUUCAGCUCCACGUGAUGCUCAUUCACCAAUGAGCCUACUGAGAAACUCACUUAUUAGCCAACAUAGGACAAGAGAAGCAUGACCUAAGCACACAUGCUUAACAAAAAGCACACUAUCUGCUAAAAGCAAACUUUAGUUUUUUUCGUCAUCAUCAUUGAACAUUAUUAGACUCUAGAUCUACUUUGCUAGUAACCCCCUUGUAUAUAUGCAUUAAGGCGGUCCAGCUCCUCCCGAUGCUCAUUCACCACUGCUCGAACAACAUCACCAAUGGAGACCAUGCCAAUCAUACCUUUGUCAUCAACCACAGGGAUAUGCCUAAUGCGGUUGUCUACAGAUAGAAAAAGUCAUAACAACAAUGUUAUCAGUCAAUCUAGCCACACAAGCAACUAAUUGUACUUACAGAACAAACCUGUCAUAAGCUGCAUGGCCCGCAGAACCUUGGUAUCUGGUGUCACAGUGAUCAAUUUAUUCUGGUCAUAAGAAACCAAAAAUACUUUGUCAUAAGGCAGAAAAUGUAAUGCAAAUGAAGGAAAAAAUCUUAGUACAUAUCACCAUUGAACGACAGGAUUCGUACAGUACUGGUAUCAUACAAUGAACCGAGUAUCAAUAUGGUACGGUAAAAUCAAUAUAGACCACUAUUAGAAUAGAGGGAGAGAGAGAAGAAGAGGAAGAGGAGAUAGCGAGUACAAAGUAACACAGAUAUGUAGCAGAGGAGGAGAGGCAGCAUUGGGUGGUGAUGUGACAAGGAGAAGCAACAACAACAAGAAUGAUGGGUGCUGAUGCCAGAUGUUAGACUUAUUGUCCGAAUACAACUUGGUAUUGAUCAGUUGAUAGCCAUAAGCCUGAUGUGGUAAGCUAUCCGAACAAUAAGCUAGGUUCCAGAUUGACCAGAAUGGAAUUGCCUGAUCUAUGUGUCAGUUAAAGCCGUGAACCUGUGGUAUAAACGAGUGCACUGACCAAAAUGUUAAUACAAAUGAAAUGAAUACUUAUCACCUGAAGUUUUACAGUUUCUUGAUUUAAGGAGAGCAGCAUUCAUGCAACUUACUUCUAUUUUAAUGUAAAAAAAAUGUUCCUUAUGAAUUAUACAGAUCAAUAAUGCAUAAUUCCAAAAACCAGGACAAUGAAAAUGCACAAUCUACAUAAACCAAUCUGCAUAUUGCAAUAGAAACUGCUCCAGAUUACCUCAUCAGUCAUAAUGUCACCAACUUUAGUUGAUUUGGAAGAUCUUCCCUGCACAAUAAUUUUUCGGAGAUAAUCUGAAGAUGAAAAAAGUUGUUAUACGUACAGGUAAGUUGCUCCAACUACAGGCAAAAGAAAACAAUCACUAUCAACAUUGUUCUUGUAUUUCUGUAAAGAUUUUGAACAAGAAAAACAGUUAUUUUUUCAGAUCAACUAUUUAUGUGUGAAAUUGAAAGUUGCUUAGCUCAAUUCUCUAUACUCUAAAGCACAUGCUUGAAUAAUAAUUCACCAUUUGUCUUAGUACUUGGUUUAUAAGUUAUACUAAUUGCUGUGAUUUUGAAGCAGCCAUUUUCCAUAAAAUAUCCUAAAGUUGAAAAUUAGCUAGAUAUUUUUAAAGAAUGGCUUAUUAAAUUCCUAAACUGCAUUCUUUGUUCUCAAGUGGUUCUCAUGAACACCGCAAGUAGUUGCAGCUUAACGAACUCUUCUUUGAAAGCAAAGUACAAUAGUGACAUAGUCAGAGGAUCAGCUGCCUAGAUACAGAAUAGUAUGGACUAUGGAGUUGUUCGGAUUGCAAGUGGAUCAUUAAAAGGUAUCAUCUUACCAACUCACAUAUGGAAAUAAAAUGUUAAAAGGCAAACAUGGAAAUUAUGAAAAUAAAGUGACUAUCUUAAUAAUGACAAUCUUUGAACUUGGUGAACUUUCAAAAUUAAUAUCUAAAUUCAGGUGAUUGAUGAUAGAAGUAUUACUAUAGACAGGAUAACCAUAAACUGCCAGUAAAAACUAUUAAGCUAUCCUUGCUCUUGAAGUAGAAAGAACAAAAAAUUACUUACUGAUAUGCCAUUUUGUGCUAGCAUAUUAGUUAAUAACAUUGUAACUGUCAGAAGCCAUAUCUUGCAAGAUCAAUGAAACAGGAACUUCCAAUUUUAUAUUUAGUUGAAUGUAGAGACCUUCAUUUGUCUUGGUCUCCUUCUAAUGCAUGAAAUUCCUUUAAAGAUUCUAAUUUCAUUUGCACCAUCCAAAUGCAACAUGCAGUACAUGAUCACAUUAGAUCUCAUGUUUGCAUUUGAACACAGGUAUGUACAUGAAUGUGCAGAUUUGUGCAUGCAAACAAAUGCAUAUUAGUUUCCAUGUGCAUAUGUAUGUGUGAGCAAAUGUUUUAGUGCAAGUACCGAUUUACCACCAAGAAACAGUGUGAUGGCAAGUGACUACCUCUCUCAGUUACAAUCCCUGCAAGUGCCUUCUCUUCUCCGGGUUUCACCACAACCAAAGCUCCAACAUUGUGUUGUGUCAUCUAAAAGAGGUAGAAUAUUGAGCCAUCAGUUCAUAUACGACUGUCCAAAACAAGUAGUUGGUUCACACAGUAUAUAUGCAUAUGCUUGGUUAUACUAUAUAUACCUCACAUUUCAUUUGAUAUUCCUAUAGGAAAUCAAUAAACGAGUAUUAAUGCAAAAAGCAGCAUACCGAUUUCACAGCAUCAUAAACAGUGUCAUUAGUUGUACACCACAGCCAGGAACCAUCAGCACUCUUGCCUUUAGCUUUCAGAAUAUCUAGGAUAGUGGUGCUCUCAAAUCCAUGCUCUUCCAGUCGAGGUGAAGAGACUGACUUGAAUCGUGAAAACACAGUAGGUAGCAUGACUGGCUUCAUGACACGCAUGUGUUGAAGAAUAGUAUUUUUAAGAAGAUUUCCAUGUAAUCGGAAUGAUUGAAUUGCAACCUGCAUUUCUCCUGUCAUUGGCAAUACAGAUAUUACUACUUGAUUAACUAACUUCAAAAUAAAGAAGAACCUUAUCUAAACAUCUACCAGCCUUAUGCAUUUUGAAGCCAAGAAAAACAUAACAAAAGAGUUGCUUUAUCAAUUAAAGAAUGGCCAAAAGAUAUAUGGAUGGAAUGACAGAGAUAAUCUUCCUUAUGUGUCAUUAAUCCUUCUGAAAUGACAUUCUUCAAUGUCCGCAACAUAAAAAUUAUAGCACUUUAAACAAUUAUAGCUGGAUACCCUGGUAUUUCAAACAAUCAACUUUUCUCUAUAUCCUACAACAGUACCCUUGAAAGUUGGACUUUAGAAGGGCAUCCAAGACACACUAAAGCCAAUAUGAAAAAGAAAAAAAUAAAAGUAGUAAAUUGAUACAUUCACAUGAUUAAAUUCAAUUGUACGCGCUAUUAACAUCAGGAGUUUAUGAUAUUGCAGUAAAGCAGAAGCAUGAUGGUUCACAAACAUCCUCUAUUUACCAUCAUAUUUCCAUGCCAACAUUCAGGCAAAAAAAGGACCUAGGUCAAAAAAUUCCCACGCAGGAUUGUACUUCAAAUCCCACUGCUGUGUACCCAAAUAACACCAUGAUAGGUGAAGGAAACAAAUCCCCAUCUAACAACAGUUUUUGGCUUUUCAGUCCCAAGGCUCCCAGCAUAUCCUUACUACCUACAUAUGGUUAAGACAAUAAUAGGACUUUUAUUUGGUUGGCUCGUUGACUUAUGGGAUGAUCAUUGCUGCCUAUAUCAAAGUUUGUGAUUUGUAUGUUAUCCUAGACUGUAACUAUGGGAAACUCUUACAAGUUUGUUCCUAGAUCAAAUGAUCUUAUAACAAAGUUUUACGAUCCUUUGCCAAGAGGACAAUUGCAUUGCUCAUAUCAUGACAUCAUUAUUGGUGGCCUGUAAUGCACAAUGUGUGACUGGAACACAUUACCUGCACAGAUCGAUCAGUAGCUGUGUUCGUAAAGGCACAAAAAAGUUAAAAAAAAGGGAAGGGAUUAAAGAAGAUAUAGAUGCAUGCAUGUAUCUUUAUGAAUAUGUAGAUGUAGAUAAAAAUAAACUUGUUUAUGUAUAUCGAACACAUACACAUACCUGUCAGUGGCCUUGAAUUGGUUCCUAAUGGCCUCGAGUUUCUGCAUCGAAGACCUCAAUAUUAGCUUUAAAGGUCAGAACCAAUCUGGUUCAAUUUUUGUGAAAAAUCCAAACCAAAAUAAAAAGAAAAAAAAGGAAAGAAAAGGUUUUAAAGGUUUGGAAUGAAAUGCUCUGGUCUCUGAUCCAGUCUGGUUACAGGCUGGUAUAUACCAAGUGAUAGGCUCACCAUACAUGUAGACAAGCAAAGCUAUAGGUUUUAUGUAGAACUAGAUGUAUGCAUAUCUCAACUAAGCAUCCUAUUUUAUGUUUUCUUCUUCAUACCAAAAUUUAAUAAGCUAAAUUGCAUAUUAUCCAAUCAACCAUUACUAGUUAGUUUCAUGGUUCUAAUGACCCUGAUCGAAAAGCUCUUGAUAUAUAACCCUCAACAUUAACAACCACUUUAUUUUGUCCAAUCCCACUUUCAGAAAAUAGUUGUUUGAUUGCCAAAAUGACAUUUUAAAUGUCAGGAGCUGUAUCAAAGAUCAGCUGCUAAUCCCUUGUAAUACCUUGUGCUCCUUAUUGUAAGCCAUAGAAACAAAAAUAUUUCUGUGAGUAGCAUGCCUGAGACCCUUAAAGAGUGUAAUACGUAAAAAGAAUACGUAUAAUUGUUUAACCAUUCAAGUCACCCGUUGAUGACAUACUCUUUAAGGAGCAUCUAAGGAACGGUUUCAGUUAUCUUCACAAAGCAAUUCCAGAAUUGGAAGUUGUCUUAUGUUGCACAUUAUAUCAAAUGCAUCACAAUCACAUUCAAAGCACCAUUCUUUUUUUUCUUUUGAAUGGAUCCAAGCUUGGUAUCAAUCCGUAAUAAAUUGUGUUAUCUUUUUUAUCCUCGUCAGCUAAUCAUUUGAUACACAAUAUCUUGACUUACUUUUGAUUAUUUAACUCUGCAUUUUGAAGAAAAAAAAAUAGAUUCUAUCCCAAUAAACAAUCCAUUCUAUGUUAAAAAUGCAAACAGAGGAACAGAACACAAUCUUUUUUCCUUUUUCUCCUUUUGAAUAGAAAAAAAGAUGGUAGCAUUAACACCAAAAACAACAUAAGAUGGAGGCACCUAAAAAAGUCAUUAAAGACCACUUUCCGAAGAGGCAUUCCAUCCGAGUUCCAGUCUCAAAGAACCCCACUCCCAUUUUUUUGAGAGAUACCGAGGCAUAUGUUUUGCCACUAAUAGCUGAAGAAAAGCCAAAAAAACGCCGUGCAGUAACAUGAUCAACACAAUUCUUAAGUCAAAGCUCCUACAAGAGGCCCACAAUUCAUUCAGGCUAUCGCAAGCAAACACAGAAGCACUAUGCCCUGAUCCCUGUUAGAAAUAUCAUAUCAAAUCAGAUCCGAUCCGAUCCGAUCCGAUCGUAUGAGGACAGCUCAAACAACUGGGAUCUCCUAGGUUCUUGAACCCUACGUAAGUUAGAACUACAACCAAAAGGAAGGGAGAAUGAACGAAUCGGCCGAAUAGACCCGCACACGAAAGGGUAGAAGGCAGGCAUUCUACAUACGUGUGAUCUUGGAAUUAAGGGGCUCACCUCCGGGAGGAAGACGAUCCCGCUGACUGCCUGAGACUCGCCGAUCGCGAGAAGAGAAGCGGAGGAGAGAGAGGGUAGAGAGGAGACGAUCGUGGUGGGGAAGGGAGAAGCAGUGACACCCUUCUCUCAAACUUGCCAAGUUGCCUUUCUUCUUAUCAACAUUGCCACUCUGGCCGUCUUCGGUGGGAAUAAACUGAUGUAUUAUUUAUGACAGGUUAUGUUUAUUAAUAUCCUAAACUUAAUUAAAUUAUUUUUCGAUCGUGGAUAAUAACUAAUCUCAUCCUGGAAAUAUUUAAUCAUCUGUCUUGUCGCUUACAGGGUACAGCAUUUGUUGCCCCUCGAAUUGAUUAUUGGAUGGUGUGUCAACGUCGAUUUGAAUUUACUUCAUUCAAGUUUUAAUGUAAACCAGCUAAUGGAUAAACACUUAAUUGAAUUAUACUGAACGUUCGAUGAGUCGAAUCCUAAACAUUUUAGUCAAUGAAAUGGAUCAGUAAAUUAUCUUAUUGGAACCCAUCCGGAUAAAUAAUAUUUGACUUUUUAUAAAGAUAAAAAAGAGAAUGUGGGAUUUGAGGUAAUAUAUUGUAAUAAGUUUUUACUAAUUAAACUAUCCGAAAUCUUUAAUAAUUUUAAAAUUAAUUAUUAAUAUUAUAAAAUAAUUAUUUAUAGAUAGUGCUAGGGGUGUUAAAACUGAUUCGAAUCGAAUCAUUUUAUUUUUUCAGAUCGAUUCCCAUAAAAUAAGAUAGUUCGAACCAAAAUCAAUUCAAAAUCAAUUAAUUGAUUUAUAAUUUUAAAUAAUUUAAUAAAUUAGUUAAUUUUUAAGAUAAAUAUACCAAAUUUUUAGAAUUAUAGCAACAACAUGAAUCCUCAAGAUUCAUUAAAUGAUAAAUACCAAAUACGUAGUAAUAAAUAUUUCAUAUUUUAUAGUUUCUAUAUUAAAUUGAAUCUUUAAUAUUAAUGAAUUAAGUUGAAGCAUUAGAUUGAAUCAAUCAAAUAUUAAAAGAUGAUUUAUUCAAAAUAUACAAAGGUCAAACUUAUAUCUUUCUCGAACCAAACUCUAUAAUCAUUCUUUACAUGAUAUUUUUUAUUACGAAAGUAGUAUUUUACUAUGAAGAUUUUUUUUUAUAAAUUUAUAUAAGAUUUAUAAAUUGAAAUGAUUUACACUUUACUUUUAUUUUAUUAUUAUCAACUUCUUAGUACUUAAAAUAUUGAGUCUUUCAUACUUUAAUCUUAAUUCUUCCUAAACAUAUAUAAUAAUCAGUUUGUUAAAGUUUUAUUUAUUCUUAGUUUUAUCAUAAUGAAUUUUAAAUAAGUUCAACUAAGAAGAAAUAAAAUUAAAAAUAAAUUAUAUAAAAAAACUCAAUUAUAUUCAUGCCAUAUUGAGAAUAUAAUAUUUAUCAUUUCAACUAGUAUUAUCACCUGAUGUAAAUUAUAUAUACUUAAAAUUUUUAGAAUCAAUUAAUCCAAAAACUAUACGGACACCAAAAGUAUAAAAAUGCAUUGAAGAAAGUAUCAUUAUAAAAUAUAAAAUAAUAUUAAUAUUUUAUAUUUUUUAAAAUAUAAAAAAUGAUUGACAUUAUCCGUAUUUCAUCUUUUGGUAAAAUAUUGAUAUAUCCAAUGUUCACUCAAAAUUAUUUAUAAAUGACUAAUAUCAUUGUAAUAGUAUUACUUCAUUUGAGAAUGUAAAAAUAGAUUGGAAAGAUAUCUAAAACAGUAUCAUCAUAUAAUUAUUCGAAAUAGAUUAUUCUUUGUUAUUAUCUAAAUAUCUUAAUUAUGUAUCUUAUUGUGAAUAUUACUUUUUAAUAUUAUUUUUGACUAAUUCUUUAGUAUAGUUUUAUAAGUUAUUGGUCUAAGCUACCUUAAUGGUAACAAGACUAAUAUAAUAAUAUAAAAUAUAGUUUAAAAUAUCAUAUAAAUUAUAAAAUAUUUAUUAUAACUUAUAUCUCAUAAAUCUAUUGUCUUAGGUCACUUUAAUACCUAUUAGUCAAAUAAGACUUAAUGAUGUAAAUUACAAAUAAUAUUAAUCAAUUUUUUUAAUCUAAUAUAUGCCAAAAUAAUUUGAUAAUAAUAAAAUAAUAAUUAUUGAAUAUUAAUUAGUAUAAAAAAAAACUCAAAUGGCAACUAUAAUCAUGAUAAACAUGUAUCAUGCCUUUUAUGUGAAAUAUCAUUUCAUAAUUUUCUUUCAUGCUUAUAUGUAUUUAACAACCACAUAAAUAUCUAAAGUAAUAAUUAAAAUGUUUAAAUAGCAUAAGUAAUUAAAUUUAAUAAUAAUAAAUUAUAUCACAUGGAUUAAAAUAAAAUAUCUAUACUUUAUUUUUUCUAUUUAAUUUUGAUAAAAAUAUUCAUCAAAUUUUAUAACAUAAUUUAUUAAUAUUAAAUUAUGGCUAUUGAGAUAAAAUUACCAAAUUAGAAAGAUAAAAUUAUAACAAAGGAUAUAAAAAAAUCAAUUUCACGACGGUAUAAUAGUAAUUCUAUAACUAAAGGUGUAACUAAAGAAAUAAAAAUUUGAAGGGUAAAACGGAUAAAAAUGAACUAAGGACAUAGAUUAAAAUUAUUUGAUUAUGAAUGAUAAAACUAGAAAAAUAUACUAAAUGAGAUAUAUUGGAAUUAUUUAAUUUCUAAAGGGUAAAGGUGUCCUUUUAUUGAAUGAAAAAAUAAAACCAUAAAACCUUCUCUUGCAUCCAUUCCAUCGCACCCAUGCGCACGGGUCCUCACCAGUGAUUGCAACGGUCAUUCACCGCUUGCGCGCUACCGUAGUGAGUGGUCGUUCUCAUGCGGUCGAUUAACAAUCGUGGUGACAUCUCAGCCACCAUCCCAUCACACAUGCCACUUGUCCUCUAGCGGUAGUGCAAAGAAACUCCACGAUCAUCAUGAUGCGUGGCUGUGCUCACCCGUCGAUUGGCCUUCACCGUGCAUUCCACCACGUCCACGCUCGAUGGUCCUUGCAUGCACGGCUAUCACUGCUGCAUGAGCGUCAUCGACCAUGCAUCUCCUUCGCAGUCAACCAACAAGCCUUACAAUCAUCACACAAAUGCUGGGCGGCCUGCAUCAACAGCAAGCAUGUCCAUAACUGACUGAUUGCCCCUGCGUGCCAUCAACACAACACAAUUGUGAGCCAUGUGAUGUAGCCUACGAUCGAUCUCAACCGCCGAUCAUAGCCGCACCAUAGUUGACAUUGUCACAACCACUUUCACUGUCCUCGUUGCUAUUAAUUAAGGGCGGUACUACCUUCCUAUGCUACCACACACAUUCAAUGUUACUGCACACAUCGCUCGUGUGUAGUGCCACUUAUGGCCCAAUCCUACUGUAGUAGGCAGCAACAAUGCCACCCAACGUAGUCAUUGCCGACUAUAGGGCUGGGCAACCAACAGAGGCCACCACAUCUCAAUAGUACUUUGGGCGAUAGUAGGCCGUCGAUGAUAGCUUGCCGAACAUAUAUAAGCAGGAUACUUUUGUCAUGGUUUCAUUGACGUUUUAAGCGAGGAGCAUGGAGGAAUAAAUUUAUAGAUCGGACAAGAUGAACAAGAUAUAAAAGCAGAUCAAUAAGAUCGUUCAAGCCUCUUACAAUCAAAAUUGGAUUAAAAUAUUUUCACAAACGAAUUGUGCUAAUAAACAAAUUUAAAUACAAAAUAGAUCUUACAUAUUUUUAUGAUAUAAGAUAUUUAAUUUUAAAAUGACUCUAAUACUAAUUGUAAGCAUAAAAACUAUAAUUAUGUUUUUGUUGUAUGAAAAAAAUUUAAUAUAAAAUUAAAAUCAAAUAAUGAUAAAUCAAAUAUUAUAAUUAUAUAUCUUUUUAUGUUAUUCAAAAAAAUCUUUAUCAAGUACAUCGUCAUCCGAUUAUAAAGAAACAGUGACGUCAAUUUGUAAGGAGAAUUAGAUUCGUCUUCUAUUUUUUUAUAUUCUUCGUAGACCACUUUAAACAAUGAAGUUAGAGGAAUGAUAGAAGAUAUAUAAUCUUCAUAUUCUUCUCAAUAUAUAAUGUCAUGUCAUAUCAUAUCAUGUUACAUUAGAUCGUGUAUUAAGUCCUUAAGAUAUCAUGUCUAUUUAUAUGUGAAAGCAGAGAGUAUAUGGUAAGCAAUUAAGAUAGUCACUCUAAGAAUCCUAUUAUAAUUAGAUUUUUUAAUAUUAAUCAAUAAUUAUAAUUAGAAUUCAAUUAAAUCUAUAAUAUAUCUUGUCUAAUUAGAUAUAGGUACAUAAGCUAAUAAUUUUAAGUCUAAAAAUUUAAUACCAUAACGAUGAAGAUAAAAUAUGAUGUCGCUCAUAAUAUUUUUUAAUAGUCUUAAAGUGUUUUCAGUACCUCAACAAAAAUAUUAUAGCACUAUUAGAAGUCAUUAUAAGUAACCUAAAUAAGUCUAAAAAUAUGACAUCGUAUGAACAAUGUGAACCAAAUAGUCAUAAUAAACUAGUUUACAUAUUUUUCAAUAGCUUUAUCGUGUUUAUUAUUUCAAUAAAAACAGUAAAACGCUGUUGAAAAAUACUAUAGCAAUUAAAAAUCAAUGAAAAUCUAAUGAAAAAAUUAACGAGAAAAAUACCAUUAGGAUUAGUGAAGGGUAUUUUGAACAUUAGUAAAUUAAGGUGCUCCAUUUGAGAAAAAACAAAAUAAGGGACGUUUUUGGAAAAACAAAUAAUUUUAUUUAUUGACGGAUAUUAUUGAAGAAAUCAAAGAAAAAACGAAAAUUAUAUUUUUAAAAUUUUAGAAAGUAGAGAUGCUCAGUGAAAACAAGAAAAGAAGGCACUCAGUUUUUUUCCUAAAAAAUAUUCUUCCUAUUUUUACGUUAAAUAACAAGUUAAUUAUUUCCCCAUCGCUCCUUUUUAAUUAUAUUAUAUAUAUACAUAUAUAUAAUAUGUAUACAUACGAACAUAAUUAUGCAUACGAACCGGGGUGUCUUUGCAUAUAUACUACGUUCUCUCUCCCGUACACGUAAUCGAUCACCCUCCGUUUCUCGUCCUUGUUUUUAUUUAUUUAUUUAAUAAUAAUAAUAAUAAUAAUAAUAACAUUCUUGUUAUUAUUAAUUUUGUUUUCUGGUCCGUCUCUGCAAAGAUUCCAUUUCCUCCCGAGCAUCCAAUGGUUCUCUCCCUUGUUGUUUCUUCUCCACUAAUCCACCUUCUAUCUCCGCUUCGAAGAAACCGAGAGGUGGGUCUGCCUGUCUUCUAGCACCUCGUCGUCGGCGUGCCCGAAGGGAGUAAGUUCGUGGUUUCUCCGGCCGCCCUCCAGCGGCGGCAAUCCCUGCUCAGAUGCCGGUCGUUGAUAUCACCCCGAUCUGCCUUGUCCAUUUCCAGCGAUCGGCACCGGUUAUUCUUGGGACAUUUGUGGCAUCCACCUCCGUCCUCUGACGGCCUGGCCCUAGGAGGGAAAACCCUGCCCCCUAUUCCAUUUGCGUUUAAUCCAAACAUAGGAUGUCAACGUGAAUUUAUGCGAUUAUUCCUAAUUUUGCGUCCUCAAUGCCUUCAACUCUCGCUGAGACCGCCUAACUUGGUUGGUUUCCGUGAAUGUGUCUUGGAUCGGUAUUAGGAAGAUUCAAUUCAACUUUAUGUACUGCAUAAGUCUGCUUAGAACCCAGAUCCAUUUGUACGGUACGGCCUAAGUCCCAAUAUUCUGUUGAUAUCCAUUGGGGUUUGGAAGUUGGCAGAUAAAUCCCGGCUUUGCUUCCCACGCCGCAAUUGUUCUUUUCUUUUGUUGGUACUGCAUGUGUUGGGAUAGCGUCUCCAUCACUGACCUAAUAGAUAUGGGUUGCUGUGGUUGCUUUGGAUUUUUGAGAAAGCGCCAUCGAUCCCUAAUGCCUCUCAGAGGCUCUGGUGCCCCCUUGUCCCAGGAGUUCCUUCUGCCAGAAAAUAUGGAUGAUGCUGAUGGUAUCUUCUACAACGGAGACUAUGCAAACACUCUAGAUGGAAGUGACACUGAUUUGCAGCGGCCAUCGAAACGUUCUGAAGAAAUUAUCUCGGAUAGAGCUAAAAAGGGAUUGAUAUGUAGGGAAGUCCCGGUUAAAGAAACUAGGAAGGUUAUUGUUUCUGAGGUAAAACUUAUUUUUCUUUCAUACUUAUGCUGAUUUAGAACUCGUGAAUCAUUGUUUUUCUCAGUUUAGACAUACAUGCGAUGCAGCUCCUAAUUAUGUAUGUGGUUGCCCUAUUAAUUUUGGUUGAAUUGCCCAUUUUGAAAGCUUGCCUCCCUCUAAUCUUCGAAAUGUUUUAUUAAAGGAUAGUGAGUUCUCGAAUCUUCAUCUGAACAUAAAAAAGUUACACAAUAAUUUUGCUUAAUGCAUGUGUGCAUGCAGAUGUUACCUUGAUGUGACCAGCAGAAAAGCUUACAGAUCCAGUUUCAUCCAUAUUCAAAAUAUUUAUAGACUUGCUCAGGGGCUCCAAAUAUGUUAAAUACCUUGUUAGACAAGAUUUACACUUCUUCUGUGUGACUUCUGCUGUACCAGCAUAUGAAAUAAAAAUACUUUGGUGAUCUCUAGGCAACUUUUGCUGCAAAAAAUUUAUCAACAUGGUACAGUUGGAUUUUUUUCCUCUUUCAAGGUAUCAAAGUAGGUCAACUUUGUCUUUUUGGGGUCAGUUUCGUUACCUUCCAUUUUGUGUCUGAUGGUCAAGGCAGUUCAUCUGAUAUAAGGUGUUAAAUUGUUUUACAAAAUUAAUAUUGAAUUUUAUAUAUUCAAAUUGCUUACAAGUCUAUAUGUCAAUACAUGUCUCUGGAACUUUAAGAGUUCUGAUGCUGGAUUGAGAAAACUACGUCUACAUUAUUUUUUGCUUCUUUAUUAAUUUGCAACCAUUCUGAUUAUUCUUUGUUAUUUAUCUGCAAUAGGAUAAUAGUGGAAAUAAGAUGGUUAAUGAAUACAUCCGGGAAUGUAAGAUUGGUUCUGGUAGCUAUGGCAAAGUGGUAAGCUUGAUACUUUGAAAAAGUCACUAUCUUUUGCUAUCUUUUGUGAAAACAAAAAUUUCUCACAACUGUAUACAGGUCCUGUACCGAAGCAUCAAGGACGGAAAGCAAUAUGCAAUUAAGGUACUACAUUUUUUUUGUAUUUACGUUUCUCUUUUUGAAUUAAUGUGUAAAAUUAGAACAAGAAAAUGAACUACAUAUAUCAAAGUUUGUCUUAUCUAUUUGUCAACAUAAAUCUUUACAUUUGUCAACAUAAAUCGAAAAUUGCUAUGUUUUCAUCCAUAAAAAAAUGUUAAAUUUCCUCUAGAGUGGUAUAAAAGAAAAGUGACUCUGCAUUGAACCAAUUCAAUCAGGUAUGUUUGUGCAUAAAUUGUCAUUGUAUUUGACCAUAAAGAUGAAGAUCACCUUGUAGAGUAUGACUGUGUCUCCUCAGGUGAUUGAAACAAGCAUCACUAGUCCAGAAUAUAACUAUGUAAGCUAUAAUUCUUUUUGUUAAGGUUGAUGAGUCAUUUCUGAUGCUGUGAUGAGUUGAAUGGCCAUAACCUGUUGAUAAUUCUUGAUGUUGCCUACUAGAUUGAACCGUCAACUCCUAACAGAAUCCAAGUGUUAGAUUUCCUAGGAUAACACCAAUAAACAUUCGCUUUCUUCAACCAGAUUAUAGAACUAUCUUUGGACCAAAAUUUUGACUAUCCUAGAAACAUUGGAAUUUGAUCACAGGCCUGGAUUAUGUGGCUUGUGGAGAUUGAAUAAAAUUUCCAAUGACCUUGCGAAGCUUUCUCUUCUAGGUCAUUGUCAAAAAUGGUCUCCAAUGCAGAAAACGAUUCCUUACUUGUCUUUUUUAUUUGUUCUAUAAAAUUUUAGCUGUUUCAUAUUUUGAACUUUUUUACUUCAACCUCUCUGAAUGAUUGUGUUGUCUUUGUGGUUUUUAGCUCUGUCUAGCCCAAUAGUGAGAACUGUCAUUCUUCUGCAAAUUUGAAAAAUAAUUUUUCUCCAAUGUAAAUUCUUAUGCAAUAGUUGGCCAUGACUAUUGUUUGUUCAUUUCCAAGAUUUUGUGGACUUUGCUGGUGAUUCUGUGGUCCAAUGGGAUUGAUAAUGCAAGAACUCUAUUUUUGAAUAAAUUUUUCUAGAUUCUUAACAUUGCUUCCUCUAUUACUUUCUGAUUGUGGAUCUAAAGCCAACUGAAACUGAUGCUGAAGUCUUUGCCAUAUGGCUUUUGUUUGUUCUUUUGACAUUUUUGUAUGUAUUUUAGGAGCUUCUCAAAUUAGUCCUACAUACUUAUUAAUUGUCAAUUUGAGAUACAUUGUGAACCUUAGUUUUAUGAUCUCUGUUCUCGGCUUUAUGCACCUAUGUCAAAGGGGGGUUGCAAAUAGGUUCAACAAGGAAAGCAAAUUUUAAACAAAGAACAACUACAUUGAUCUCUUCCAUUAACCACCCUUACAGGAUUCCAUAAGUACCUAUUUGUUUGUUGAUAUGCAGAUUUUCCAUAAAUCACAUUUGUUAAAGUUGCGUGUGGCUCCUUCUGAAACUGCAAUGACUGAUGUUUUUCGGGAGGUUAGUAUUUUAUUUUGUGAGCAUAUAUUAGUUAUUUGAAUGCAUUUUCUCAUGGUACAUAUUAUUUUGGCCAUACUGUAGAUUUAGUGCUGAUCUGUAUUUGUCUGUUCUGGUCAUCAUAAAUUGUGGGUAUUUAGGAUAUUAACAUGUGACCACGUAAACUGUUUAGCUUAUGGACAUUGUGCUGUUUGACACCUAGAUCUUGUUAGUUAGCACGGAAUCUGCAAUUCUUUUCUGUAGCUGAAUAGCUGCUCAUUUAGAGGAAACAGAACCAGAUAGUUGCUGUCCUGGGGCUGCUACUGCAAGUUCCGGCAGGAUAAAAUUUUCAGCUUGCUGGGUGAUCAAAAGGUUGGUCAAGGGUUUAAAACAAAAAAAGGCUGGUCAAGAGUCAAGAGCUCCAGAUUUGUCAUCAAAGCUGGGAGAUAAUAGUUUUCAAAGCUGGGAUAUUAUAGCUGUAUUGCUGUCAGAGAUGUCAAAGGUUGUUGAUUGGACUUGGCCCAUCUCCAAUACAUUGCUCUGAUAGCAUGUGAGAUUUACUUCUUUUGCCAAUCAGAUACAAAGGAUUGCAGUCUGGCAAUGGGAUUGCCAGAUACAAAGAUUGCUACUGUGUUCCUCUUAUUAUUCUUGAUCUGCUUUAAGUGUGUUGAGAUUAUUCAGAUAUCCUUAUAUCUUAACUCAAUCAUCAUGCCUUUGAAGAUGGAUUCCUUUCCUUUGGCACAUUUUAUUGGAGUACUCUGACAUCAUACUUGUUGAUAUAUUAUAUAUAUUCUACCAACCGAUACGAUAUGACCAUCCUAUCAGGUUUUAUGCAAUUAGAGGAGAAAAGGCCUCUGAAGUUGUCAGAACAAUUCAUCUAAACUUUCUCUCAUAAAGUACAUGGUAACAUCUACACAUAAGCCCUUACUGGUUGUCAUGAUGAUUGGUUCACUCUCAACAAGGGUCAACACAGGUCUAGGGUGGAUCAGGCUUGAAUUUGCUGCCGGUCACAUAAAAAACAAUAUGAUGGUGCUUUGAUUAAAUAGUGACAUUGUCCCCACCAAAGUUGAAUGGCAGAAAAAUACUCUCUUGUUGGAUGAGCUUGAGUUGUUUGGGACAUACCAGUUAUUGUAUCUGGAUAGUUCAGACAUGGAACUUGCUGAAACAGAUAAUCAUCCCACCAAACAAUUCUUGGUCUUAAACGUUUAAGAAAUUGCAAGAAGCUUAUAUCUGUUGACUGCUAAUUUUUUAAUGGUAUAAUUUGAUUGACGUGUCAUUGGCUAUCAAAAUGUGAAAUUUAUACCACCAGAAUAAACUCCUUUUCAUUACUUCUUGUGGUCUAGUUACUCAGCUUUGUUGGUUUUCUUUUUACACCAGAUAAUGCAUAUAUCAUUUUUCAUGCUGUAUUUAUUGCUUGCGGCAUUUGUAGUUUAGCAACCAUGUUUUCUUUGCAGGUAGCGAUCAUGAAAAUGUUGGACCAUCCAAAUAUAGUUAAUCUCAUUGAGGUCAUUGAUGACCCAGACACAGAUCACUUCUAUAUGGGUAUCCUACUAUGACUUUCUCUGUAGCUUUUCUAACUUAAUUGUUGCUACUUCUCCUAUUGGAAGUUAUACAUGCUCCUUGUUGGUUAUUGACUUGAUAACCAUGGUUUAAUGCUAGCUCUUCUCCUUUGCAGUACUGGAAUAUGUUGAAGGCAAGUGGGUAUUCGAGGGUUCUGGUGCAGGUAAUAAUUUAGGAGAAAGUACCACUAGAAGAUACUUGCGAGACAUAGUUGCUGGCCUCAUGUAUCUCCAUUCUCAUGUAAGAUGUACAUAUAAUUGUUGGUUUUGUACUUAUAGAGCUAGUUUCGGACUUGUCCAAGUUGAGUUUAGUUUGAUUCUACAUGUAUUAAGUCCAAUCUGAGUGGUUUUUGUAAUCUCUACAAACAAUAAAUGGUUAUUGCGCUUAUUUGACCAUUAAAAUGACACAAAUUUAGGAUCAGUUUGUUCAGGUAUUAAUUUCCUGUUUUGAUUUUCAAGAUGAUGUUUCUUCUGAAAAAUAGUUCAAUUUAUUUGCACAGACAAUACUCAAUUAGUGAGCCUUAUCCUACCAAUGUAGCUACAUCUCUUGUUAUUGAGGCUUAACUUGAGUGGUAUGUUGGUUGGCUUAUUUUUUGGGUGAAGUACUGGUUCUGGCAAUUAUGAGAAGUUCUAUUCCUUCGUUUCCUGGUUCUUUUUUCUACUUAUUCUCCUUGCUAUGCAAUUAAAAUGGUUAGAGAUCAAUUUAUUUGAGUAAAAGGUAGAUCCUUGGGCGUGACCAGACUUUUGGAACAUCUAUGAUCUAUGAUGAUAUAUUACCUCCAAAAUCUUAACAAAAAAGGAGAGAAAGAAGGAAAUUCAAAGUUUUCCACUAAACAAAAAGAAAGCUAUGAGAUCUUUUUAACUUUGCACUAAAAAUGAUCUUGAAAGUGUUUUCCAAAUUAAUUUAAAAGUUUUACUGGCCUAGUUUCUUGAUAUCAUUAUUUUAAGUUCAAAUUGAUGUACAUGUUCCUCUUGGUAUGUCAUAUAUAUCUUCUAAAAUUUUUUGAACACUAUUAAUGGUUUUCCAUGUUUUACUGAUUGCUUAUUAAAUUGGUUCUGAGUCAUUAGUUGUAUGACUUUCCAAUCUAUUUGUAUCAUUAAGACUCUAGAUAAGCUAGAACUUUGAAUAUGCAGGAUACAUGUCCAGUGUCAUUCUAUAGUCUAUAGGCGAGGAUUUGUUUUUACAAAAUGCAUUUGAAUUAGAUGAACAUAAGUUAGUGCUAUAACCUUUUCAUAUCAUUUAUACAAAUGAUGGGUCAUGACAUGUAUAGUUCUAAAUUCUAAUAACAUUCUAUAGUUCCAUCACUUUGUCUAGGGUCCUAAAGUAUAGCAUUAAGUAAAACUAGAAUAUGCUUAAAAGUUUGGCUGGGUUAGCAUUUGAUGUACUAAACAAUAGACGAACCUAUUCAUGUCAGCUGACAGUUGAAACUGUUUGGAAGAGAUGCAAAAUAUUGCUUGGACUUAUUCAGUUUGACUGCUCAUUCCACCUUCUUGAUUGUUGUGUAUGUCAUACUAGUUCUGUCAUAAGUGCAGAAUGUCGUCCAUGGAGAUAUUAAACCUGAUAACCUUUUGGUGACAAGAAACAACAACGUAAAGAUAGGGGACUUCAGUGUUAGCCAGGUCUUUGAGGUACUGUUGAUUUGUCAUUUUUUCCUUUUGCUAUUUAGCACUGAAUAUUAUUUUUGAUGCAACAGCUAGAAGUAGCUGGUCAUAGAUUUUUGCCCCGAUUACUGGUAGGCAAAGUUACUAAUUUCCUCAGUUGCUCCAAAGAAUGAACCUUUCACAAUUUCCAGGCUCUAAUACUGUCAACACCACAUUAUACUCUAUAAAUUCAUGUAUGAUCAAUCACACGAGGGAUUUUUGCACAGCAUGACACUGAAAUUAUUUGCUCAUUUUUUAAAACUUCAAGCUUUAAAGAUUGAUUUCUUAGAUGCUUAAUAUGUAAUUCUUCUUCUUAGUUUAAUGCUCCUCUGUUUUUCUGAUUAUUUCACAACUGAAAAUCUAGAUGUGUUUUAUAGUAUUUACUAUGUAUGCUUGGCCUACCCAACUGCAUUAGCUAGUGGUGUUUGAUCAAAUAAAAAUGCCCAAAUUUUAAUAAAUUAUUUGAGUGCAGUCUUGGUAACUAUUUUUACAUCUUAUUUUCAAACCAUGCAUUAUUGGAGAAAUAUCAAUGACCUUCAGACUUUUGCUUCUUUUUAUAUGCAUCAUUAGUAGUUCAAAAGAUUCAGAGAUAUAGGUUUUGUUAUCUUUUUGUAGUUUGUCAAGGACUGCUUUACAUUCAGUCACACUGAACCUACACCCUUUGAUACUGCUUUUUUAUAUUCUUGCUUUGGCUCAAACUGAGUUUAAUAGACAAUGUAACUACUUUCCCUCCUUAUAUAUAGAGGAAAAAAGACCAGUACAUGAGAUAAAAGGAAAACAACCGGGAGAAGUAAAAUCUUUUGUUAUGUAAUUGUGGUCAAAUUAAUCAGAUAUAGUUUGUAGAGGUCAGGACUAACUUGAGCUUAGUUCCAAAUGCCAUCUAGUUUGUUGGAAAGCCAGCACAUAUCUUUGGUCAUGAAAUUUUAGCAUAUAUUAUAUAUUGAUCAGUGUUCUCACUGUUAAAUCCAAUGAAGUUCACAUGCAUAUGGAUAUCAAUAGGUGUUACUGUGCUGACAGACAGGAGAUAUUUUGACCAAUCAACAUCAAACUUAAUUCAGACACUUAACAACCAAACAUAAAAAAUUUAACACUGAUGAAAACUUUCAAUGUCUUGAUCGAUGAUCAAAUAUGUAAAAGGAAAAAUAAAGAGAGGAGAGAUUGAAUGAAAAAAUAUACAGUGGUUUUGUAUAUUAUUUCAUUCAUACCUCCACCAAAGAAUUGGAUUUCAAAUUUUUGAUAUACCAAGAGAGGUGAGAUUGAUGAUCAUAAAAAUAUGUAGUAUAGCACUUAAUGCAUAAACAAGAAUUGGAUUGGAUAGAUCCUGACUCAUUGUCCUAUUCAAUUAUGAAUCAAACUAUUGCUUUCUGGUCAUCAAAUUUCAUGCUCAGUCGAUAUUUGGUUCCAACUGCAUCAUAUUGUGUCCGGUACUCUCUGUUGACACUCCUAUCCUAUGGUCCAAGGAAUCCAGUACACUUGUUCAAAUACAAUUACUCAGACACAUUUUAAGUAUAUGCUCUUUAUAAUGAUUUUCUGUCCUCUCUAUCUAGAAGUUAACUAUGGCCUUCACUUGCGCCCAUACUCUAGUGGUUAGUCUACUUUCUAAUAUGUUAUUAGAUGUUAUAUUAGCUUGAACUAAGUGUUAUUUUGCUGAUAUUACUCUUUUUUUGUUGUUCUUAGUUGAUAGCCAUGCUAAAAAAUAUAAAUUCAUGUGUAAACUGCAGGAUGAUAAUGAUGUGCUCUGGAGAUCCCCAGGAACCCCUGUUUUCACUGCACCUGAAUGCUGUCUAGGUGAGUAAGACAUGAUAGCAUGUUCUAGUGAUAUAACUCAUGUAAUGGUACAACAUUCCCUUGAUACUUUUAUACAGGUUUAACCUACCGUGGUAAGCCUGCCGACACAUGGGCCCUAGGUGUCACUUUGUAUUGCAUGAUAUUCGGGCAAUAUCCUUUUCUGGGGGAUACACUUCAGGACACAUACGACAAGGUUCGACCUUACUCCACUAGAAACCUUUUCUUUUGCUGAUUGUUUAGCGAUGAUCGAGUCUAAAGUGAUUCUGGUGCAUGCUGCCUUAGAUUGUCAACAGCCCACUGAUCAUUCCUGAUGAAAUAAAUCCACAACUGAGAAGUUUGCUAGAAGGGCUUCUCUGCAAAGGUUGGCUGCAGUUCAGUUUUCUAUAUUUUCCACAAAAUUUCUCUUGAUUCUUAUCGUUCCCUAUUAUUUUCACAUGGCAUACAUGUGCUGCAGAUCCCCAGAACCGGUUUACCUUGCGUGUUGUAUCGGAGCAUCCUUGGGUCGUUGGCGAUGAGGGUCCGAUCCCGGAGUACUUGUGUAAGUGCAGGCGAAAGUCUUCUGCGUGAAAAAUAUGGCUGGAGCAUAUCUUGUCUUGGCUUGUGAGUUUGCUUGUGAAGCCUGUACAGAUGAUGGUAGUUGAAAUAUGAGACUUUGGUGGCUAUAAAUAUAAUGAAGAGCAUCAACCAAAAGAAAAAGUCCAUGCACUCAUCUUAGUUAUGCUUUCUGGGCAUUAAAAAUGUUGAUCCAGUUCUACUAUUUUCGUACCUCGCGAAGAUAGCAACUUAUCUUCGAGAAUAACAAGAGAGAGUCGGCAAAUAUGCGUGGACGAUUUUAUUACUUGUUGGCACCCCACCUUGAUAAAAUCCUGUUGGACUUGCUAACAUAUGUUUUUUAUCCUGUUGUGUGUGUGUGUGUGUGUGUGUGAGAGAGAGAGAGAGAGAGAGAGAGAGAGAGAGAGCUUUCCACUUAAAAAGUUGUUCGACAGAACCAUGCACUUUCAAGGUAUGAAUGGUGUGGCGAAGUCACACGACUCCCUCUUACCAAAAUAAAUCUGCUAAUAAGAUUGGCGCAAGCAACAUUUCAGUAUUUUGCCAGACCCGUGAUAUGGGGAGAAUCGUCCUCGCCUCAGGCCAGCAUUUAAUUGACAGUAGGUAGAUCAGCUGUGGCUGUCAAGAAAGGAUUCCUGUGAAUCUGCGAACAGUUACGUGUAAAAUUGAGAUAUAUAUUGUAAAAAAUAAAAUUAUUCGUUAAGACGAUGAAUGUUUAUAUAUUUUUUAAGAAUUUUUUAAUAAUAUACUUUAAUUACAAAAUCAAAUCAAUUACUCAAAUUCUAGAUUUAUUCUCAAAUCAAAAAAUUGAGGAUGUAAGGAAUAUAAGGAUGUUAUUUCAUUUGUUUCUAUUAUGAUCUUUCAUUGUAAGAUUGUGUUUCUGUCAAGAUGUCAAUUUUGAAUUGAUUUAAUUGAAAUAUAUUAUGAGUAAGAGGUUUUGUGAGGGAGCCAAUUAGUUGAUCAGAGGUAUAUAUGUGAGAAACACGUAAUUGAUGCCUGAUAAGUUUAUCUCUAACGAGGUGGAAACCGAUGACAAUAUAUUUUAUGUAUGAGUUAUUGGCGCAUAGGUGGUGUCGAUACUAUUAUAAUAUAUUAUAGAAGUGGAUUGGAAAGUGAUGUCUAAGUUUCUAUAAUGAGAGGUGUAUUUGAGAGGGUCUAAGGUAUAAUCAUAUAAAUUUAAUGAUAUAUGUUGUUUGAGUGGCUCGAAUUGCUAAAGGCCCAUGGUUUUGGAAGGAAAACAUAGACUCAACAAAAAUAACAUUAUAUGAUAUAAAGACUUUUUAAGUUUGAGGAUUAUAGUACUAUAAAGCUUUAUGUUUAAGAGAGUAUUUUACGAAGAUGCAAGGCUUGGAUUCUGGUAUUAACUUAUGUGAAGUAUAAGAGCGGAUAACAUAAACAACCAAAUACUUUGUAUUUUUGAAUGUUUAGGAUUUUGUAAAAUAAUUUUUCAAAUGAUGACUGGUAUUGUAGAACUGGGGUGAGCAUACAAUUAAUGAGGUAAACUAUAAUUUAAAAGGUUGCUGACCAAAAGGUUGGUGAUAUGAAGGCUUGAUGUAAAAGAAUGAGACCAGUUUCAAUUAUAUGUCGAUGCUUUUGUACGGUAUGGCCAACUAGUUGAGGUGUGUUUAGUAGUGAGUUAAGAUGUUGCAUACCAUAGGAUGAAGGUAGGUUUUUAGAACUUAGUAUUUACCUCAUUCAUCAGAGUAAAUUAUUUUAAUGGUAGAAUGGAAGAAGUUUUCGACUAUCUUUCUAUAGAGAGUAAGAAUUACGGUAACUUCAGAUUUAUAUUUGAGAGUAUAAUUAUAUAUUUAAUAAAUUAAUCUACAAAAAUGACAUCAAAUUUGAAAAUGUCAAAAGUGAUUAGGGCAAGGCCCCAGACAUCGGUGUAGAUAAUUUUAAAUAGUAUGGAGCAGGAUAUCGAAGACAUUCUAAAGAUAGUCUAUAACUUUUAUUACUAAGGCAAGCAUCACAAUGAGUUACAAUUCUUCUUGAUUUGGAAGUUAAAAGAAAGUAACAAGAAAUUAGCUAUUGUUGAAUGGAGGAUAAUGAAUGACUAAGGUGACGAUGCCACACAUCAAUUAGAGCAACACCUGAAUUAAGAGUGGUUGAUUGGGUGAUUUGUAAAGCUGAUGGUUGCUCGGAGAUGUUAUUUUUAUUUUGACUUCAGACCAAGGAUACUCUCGUGUUCAAAUUCUUUAUAAGAAACAAGUAAAGAAAGAUUUCAAUAGAGGUGUUAUUUUGUUUGCAUAAUUGAGAAACAAAAAUGAGAUUCCUUUUAAUAUGAGGUAUAUAUAAAAUAUUAUCGAGUGUAAAAGUGUUGGUAUUUGAAUUAAGUAUUGUGGAACCAAUAUGAGUAAUAUGGAUUCUGUUAUCGUCACCAAUGAUGAUGUCUUCAUUGCCUCCAUAGUCAUUAUAGAUGGAUAAGUUCUGCAGAUCAGAAGUGAUACGAUGAGAAGAGUCAGAGUCAAUAAUCUAAUUAUUUGGAUGAGUAAUCAGAGUAGUUAUGAUGUUUGCUUGAGGUCAAUUGGGUGUAGUAGGAGGCUUGGGUCGAGAUUAAUAGACUUUUGCUACAUGUACGAUUUUGUCACAAAGCUGAUAGAGAACUUUUUGUUUAUUGUUAUUGUUGGGACGCCAUAGCUGCUGAUAGUUAUAGUGUAUGUUAUUUCUUAAGUUAUGAGGAUUGAAGUUGCUACCAUGAUUGAAGGGUUAGCAUAAUGGAGGAUGAUGGCUCGACGUGUUACCUAUAUGUCCCGGAGGUAUCUUGUUCGGUCUUUUGUUGCAGUUAUUAUUACUUUGAUUGCUCUUUCUUUUGAACUUUUGAUUGAAUUGAGCUGUGAUAGUUAGUCCUGUCAUCUUUUCUUCUCUUUUCAAAUAUGUAUUAAGAUCAAUCAAUUUGUUAUAUAGUUCUUCAAAUAACAUCAGUGAAUCUCAUACCCGAAUUAUUGUCGCUGAUUUCUUAUAUUCGUCUCUUAGGUAAUUGAGACUAUGGACAAUGACUUCUGGGGAUGACUUAUUAAAAUCAAGUCAUUUAUAAAAACUUUUAUAUUUUAUAUAUAAUCAAUAAUAGUAUUGCUCUCUUAAGUUAUUUUUAUCAGAGUUAAUAAAAGACUUAGCAUAGAGUGCGAGAGUGAUUGGCCAAGGUGACUUGUAACUUUGUUCAUGCUUCCUACAGUACUACACAAAGAUAUUAGUGGUACUAUGGAGUCAAUAAUUGAGGUUUGAAUUGCUUGUAGAAUAAGACAGAUCUUAUCAUAACCAUAACUUGUGAUUAAGAUUUGUUAUUGGGCUUGGUUUUCUUGGUAUUUGGAUCUUUUGUGGUGGACAAUUAAAAGAGUCACCGAUGUAGUCUAAUAGAUAAUAUUGAAAGAGAAGAUAAUUUGAAGGGGAUUUGAGUUGCACCAUUCAUAGAUAUAAGUCGUGUGUAUUGAAAAAAUUUAUUGUUUCGUAUGAGAACAAUAAUUGGAGAGAUAGUCGCGCAUUGUUGGAAGGAGGAAAAAAAGGUCCUUUCUUGCUACAACUGCACAAAAAGAUUGAUAGUUGAUGGUGGUGCCCUUUGGAAUUCCAAUCCUUGCCAUCACGGAGUGAUCUGAGCGGGUGAGGAAGAAGAAGAGGAAGAACCAACGUCGGAUGUGGUAGGAACAUCCUCUUCGCAUUGUUCACAGUGUAGUGUGUCUAGACUUCGGAGUUGUCGUCGACUUUCUCAUGGAGGCAGCUCUUCGAGUUGCAGGAGCAUAGGAGCGUCCACUGUGCGACCACGACAGAAGACACGUGGGCACAAGAGAAGGCGAUGGGGCGACCAUAGUGGGGUCCGUCGAUAGAGUAGUCGCUUCUGAUCUGUAGACCGCAAGAGGAGGCGACAACAACAGUGAGAGGCGAUAGGUUAUGCCUUGCAGCCAGGAGGAAGAGGUUCAACUGGCGAAGAGAAUAAACCGUCGAGCAAGAUGCAAUGGUCGAUGAGGAAGAAGGGGGCAGUCGGGGCACAGGAGGUUCACUGGUGACGAAGAAGUGGGAGGUUCCUAAAUCAGAUUUGCACAGGAGGGUCGAGGCGGCGAAACCGUAUAAGCAGAGCCUCGCGCCGCUUCUUUGGGUAGGUGGCAACGGUGACUCCGCACAAGGAAACAUAGGGCAUCGAAAGGGAAUCAACAGUAACCGCUUCUUUGGAUGAUGGCAACAGAUCUGAGGAGGCAGUGAACAAGCAAGCAACCUUCUAGAGGUGGACGGAGGGCAACGCGAUCGGCCCGGAAGGCAUCGAACCAAGUGAAGGUGAGGGAGUAGACAUGGGAUCGAUCAACGAAGAUUGCCUAGCAAAAGCGAAUAUACACAACGAAUAUGAUCGAUGAAAAGCAGAAGGUAGGUGAUCAUUGAGGAGAAGCAAGGGUACGAUCAUCGAAAUCAACAUCACCGGGGGUGGCAGAUUAGAUCAACGUUGUCGAAGGACUGAUUAGAUCUGUUGAUUGAUCAAAGCAGAGGAACAUUGAGUUGAUAGCUACAAAUCUGUGCAGCAUCGAUAGAGGGUAGAAGAGUGCCAGAGAAGAGGUAGCACCGAGGGAUCUCUGUGUAGAAGCAAAAUCAAUUGGUAAAGAAAUGGGAUCGACAGAGUUGAGGAGUUAGAAGAAACCGACAACGAUAUAUUAACAGAAGGGAGGGA
rnacentral:lncRNA from 1 species